rnacentral:lncRNA from 1 species
UUUUCUGAGAGAUACUCAAGAAAAUUCAACACAUUAUUCUUCCCCUUUUUCAUUAAGUUAGAGGCUCUUAAGAUCAACUGUUUGAAUUGCAAUUUGGUUCAUGAUUUAUGCAUAAGAUAUAUUAACCAAAUAACAAGCCUCAAGAUGUAUCAUAAAGAUUUUCAGAUUUAAAUUUCAGAUGAUACAUAUUGGAGAGUAUUAGGAUCACUUUACAUUUAGUAUUCUUUCUCUCUCCUUUAGUUAUAGAUUUAUGCGAUUAAGUUCCAUAAGAUCUCUCCUUCUGAAAUUUUCUUUCUCCCCCUCAAUUGAUCAUUCCAUUUAAGAGUUUAGAAUUUGAAGAUAAUGUUCAAUAAAAUUGUCAAUCUCAAA